GUACCCCGAGGAAAAGAAAUCAACCGAGAUUCCGAAAGUAGCGGCGAGCGAAAUUGGACUAGCCCUUAAGCUUUACACGUGUUAGACGAACGGUCUGGAAAGUCCGACGAUACAGGGUGAUAGUCCCGUAGUUGACGACGUGUGUUCAGUGAAAUCGAGUAGGGCGGGACACGUGAUAUCCUGUCUGAAUAUGGGGGGACCAUCCUCCAAGGCUAAAUACUACUGACUGACCGAUAGUGAACCAGUACCGUGAGGGAAAGGCGAAAAGAACCCCUGUGAGGGGAGUGAAAUAGAACCUGAAACCGUGUACGUACAAGCAGUAGGAGCAGGCUUUGUCCUGUGACUGCGUACCUUUUGUAUAAUGGGUCAGCGACUUUAUAUUCAGUGGCAAGGUUAACCAUCUAGGGGAGCCGUAGGGAAACCGAGUCUUAACUGGGCGUUCAGUCUCUGGAUAUAGACCCGAAACCAGGUGAUCUAGCCAUGGGCAGGUUGAAGGUUGAGUAACAUCAACUGGAGGACCGAACCGACUAAUGUUGAAAAAUUAGCGGAUGACUUGUGGCUAGGGGUGAAAGGCCAAUCAAACCUGGAGAUAGCUGGUUCUCCCCGAAAGCUAUUUAGGUAGCGCCUCGGACGAAUACUACUGGGGGUAGAGCACUGUUAAGGCUAGGGGGUCAUCCCGACUUACCAACCCUUUGCAAACUCCGAAUACCAGUAAGUACUAUCCGGGAGACACACGGCGGGUGCUAACGUCCGUCGUGGAGAGGGAAACAACCCAGACCGCCAGCUAAGGUCCCAAAUUACUACUAAGUGGGAAACGAUGUGGGAAGGCUCAGACAGCCAGGAUGUUGGCUUAGAAGCAGCCAUCAUUUAAAGAAAGCGUAAUAGCUCACUGGUCGAGUCGGCCUGCGCGGAAGAUGUAACGGGGCUAAGUAGUAAACCGAAGCUGCGGCAAUGUGCUUUUGCACAUUGGGUAGGGGAGCGUUCUGUAAGCGGUUGAAGGUGUGUGGUAACGCAUGCUGGACGUAUCAGAAGUGCGAAUGCUGACAUGAGUAACGAUAAAGGGGGUGAAAAACCUCCUCGCCGGAAGACCAAGGGUUCCUGUCCAACGUUAAUCGGGGCAGGGUAAGUCGACCCCUAAGGCGAGGCCGAAAGGCGUAGUCGAUGGGAAACGGGUUAAUAUUCCCGUACUUCUUACAAUUGCGAUGGGGGGACGGAGAAGGCUAGGUGGGCCUGGCGACGGUUGUCCAGGUUCAAGUGCGUAGGCUUGAGAGUUAGGUAAAUCCGGCUCUUUUUAAGGCUGAGACACGACGUCGAGCACCUACGGGUGUGAAGUCAUUGAUGCCAUGCUUCCAGGAAAAGCCUCUAAGCUUCAGAUUGUAAGGAAUCGUACCCCAAACCGACACAGGUGGUCGGGUAGAGAAUACCAAGGCGCUUGAGAGAACUCGGGUGAAGGAACUAGGCAAAAUGGUACCGUAACUUCGGGAGAAGGUACGCUCUCGACGGUGAAGUCCCUCGCGGAUGGAGCUAUUGAGAGUCGCAGAUACCAGGUGGCUGCAACUGUUUAUUAAAAACACAGCACUGUGCAAAAUCGUAAGAUGACGUAUACGGUGUGACGCCUGCCCGGUGCCGGAAGGUUAAUUGAUGGGGUUAGACUUCGGUCGAAGCUCUUGAUCGAAGCCCCGGUAAACGGCGGCCGUAACUAUAACGGUCCUAAGGUAGCGAAAUUCCUUGUCGGGUAAGUUCCGACCUGCACGAAUGGCGUAAUGAUGGCCACGCUGUCUCCACCCGAGACUCAGUGAAAUUGAAAUCGCUGUGAAGAUGCAGUGUACCCGCGGCUAGACGGAAAGACCCCGUGAACCUUUACUACAGCUUGGCACUGAACAUUGACCCUACAUGUGUAGGAUAGGUGGGAGGCUUUGAAGCACGUACGCCAGUAUGUGUGGAGCCGUCCUUGAAAUACCACCCUUGUAGUGUUGAUGUUCUAACGUCGACCCCUUAUCGGGGUUGCGGACAGUGCCUGGUGGGUAGUUUGACUGGGGCGGUCUCCUCCCAAAGAGUAACGGAGGAGCACGAAGGUGGGCUAAUCACGGUUGGACAUCGUGAGGUUAGUGCAAUGGCAUAAGCCCGCUUGACUGCGAGAAUGACAAUUCGAGCAGGUGCGAAAGCAGGUCAUAGUGAUCCGGUGGUUCUGAAUGGAAGGGCCAUCGCUCAACGGAUAAAAGGUACUCCGGGGAUAACAGGCUGAUACCGCCCAAGAGUUCAUAUCGACGGCGGUGUUUGGCACCUCGAUGUCGGCUCAUCACAUCCUGGGGCUGAAGUCGGUCCCAAGGGUAUGGCUGUUCGCCAUUUAAAGUGGUACGCGAGCUGGGUUUAGAACGUCGUGAGACAGUUCGGUCCCUAUCUGCCGUGGGCGUUGGAAGAUUGAAGGGGGCUGCUCCUAGUACGAGAGGACCGGAGUGGACGAACCUCUGGUGUUCGGGUUGUGUCGCCAGACGCAUUGCCCGGUAGCUAAGUUCGGAAUCGAUAACCGCUGAAAGCAUCUAAGCGGGAAGCGAGCCCUGAGAUGAGUCUUCCCUGAUACUUUAAGUAUCCUAAAGGGUUGUCGGAGACUACGACGUUGAUAGGUCAGGUGUGUAAGUGCUGUGAGGCAUUGAGCUAACUGAUACUAAUUGCCCGUGAGGCUUAACCAUACAACACCUAAGGGGUUU
rnacentral:rRNA from 1 species